rnacentral:rRNA from 1 species
CCUACNGGAGGCAGCAGUGGGGAAUAUUGCACAAUGGGCGUAAGCCUGAUGCAGCAACGCCGCGUGAGCGAUGAAGGCCUUCGGGUCGUAAAGCUCUGUCCUCAAGGAAGAUAAUGACGGUACUUGAGGAGGAAGCCCCGUCUAACUACGUGCCAGCAGCCGCGGUAAUACGUAGGGGGCUAGCGUUAUCCGGAAUUACUGGGCGUAAAGGCUGCGUAGGUGGUUUUUUAAGUCAGAAGUGAAAGGCUACGGCUCAACCGUAGUAAGCUUUUGAAACUAGAGACUUGAGUACAGGAGAGGAGAGUAGAAUUCCUAGUGUAGCGGUGAAAUGCGUAGAUAUUAGGAGGAAUACCAGUAGCGAAGGCGGCUCUCUGGACAGUAACUGACACUGAGGCACGAAAGCGUGGGGAGCAAACAGGAUUAGAUACCCUGGUAGUCCACGCCGUAAACGAUGAGUACUAGGUGUCGGGGGUUACCCCCCUCGGUGCCGCAGCUAACGCAUUAAGUACUCCGCCUGGGAAGUACGCUCGCAAGAGUGAAACUCAAAGGAAUUGACGNGGACCCGCA